UUAAGUUAAUAAGGGCGCACGGUGGAUGCCUUGGCACUAGGAGCCGACGAAGGACGUGACAAACGACGAUAUGCCUUGGGUAGCUGUAAGUAAGCGAUGAUCCAGGGAUUUCCGAAUGGGGGAACCCAACAGGUAAUACCUGUUACCUACAUCUGUUAAGGAUGUGAGGAGGAAGACGCAGUGAACUGAAACAUCUAAGUAGCUGCAGGAAGAGAAAGCAAAAGCGAUUGCCUUAGUAGCGGCGAGCGAAACGGCAGAAGGGCAAACCGAAGAGUUUACUCUUCGGGGUUGUAGGACUGCAAUGUGGACUCAAAGAUUAUAGAAGAAUGAUUUGGGAAGAUCAGCCAAAGAGAGUAAUAGCCUCGUAUUUAAAAUAGUCUUUGUACUUAGCAGUAUCCUGAGUACGGCGGGACACGUGAAAUCCCGUCGGAAUCUGGGAGGACCAUCUCCCAACCCUAAAUACUCCCUAGUGACCGAUAGUGAACCAGUACCGUGAGGGAAAGGUGAAAAGCACCCCGGGAGGGGAGUGAAAUAGAACCUGAAACCGUGUGCCUACAACAAGUUCGAGCCCGUUAAUGGGUGAGAGCGUGCCUUUUGUAGAAUGAACCGGCGAGUUACGUUAUGAUGCGAGGUUAAGUUGAAGAGACGGAGCCGUAGGGAAACCGAGUCUGAAUAGGGCGCCUUAGUAUCAUGACGUAGACCCGAAACCAUGUGACCUACCCAUGAGCAGGUUGAAGGUGCGGUAAGACGCACUGGAGGACCGAACCAGGGCACGUUGAAAAGUGCUUGGAUGACUUGUGGGUAGCGGAGAAAUUCCAAACGAACUUGGAGAUAGCUGGUUCUCUCCGAAAUAGCUUUAGGGCUAGCGUCGACAUUAGAGAUUCUUGGAGGUAGAGCACUGUUUGGGUGAGGGGUCCAUCCCGGAUUACCAAUCUCAGAUAAACUCCGAAUGCCAAUGAAUUAUGGUCGGCAGUCAGACUGCGAGUGCUAAGAUCCGUAGUCGAAAGGGAAACAGCCCAGACCACCAGCUAAGGUCCCAAAAUAAUUGUUAAGUGGAAAAGGAUGUGGGGUUGCACAGACAACUAGGAUGUUAGCUUAGAAGCAGCUAUUCAUUCAAAGAGUGCGUAAUAGCUCACUAGUCGAGUGACCCUGCGCCGAAAAUGUACCGGGGCUAAAACAAUUUACCGAAGCUGUGGAUACCUUUAUAGGUAUGGUAGGAGAGCGUUCUAUGUGUGAUGAAGGUAUACCGUGAGGAGUGCUGGAACGCAUAGAAGUGAGAAUGCCGGUAUGAGUAGCGAAAGACAGGUGAGAAUCCUGUCCACCGUAAGACUAAGGUUUCCAGGGGAAGGCUCGUCCGCCCUGGGUUAGUCGGGACCUAAGGAGAGACCGAAAGGUGUAUCCGAUGGACAACAGGUUGAUAUUCCUGUACUAGAGUAUGUAGUGAUGGAGGGACGCAGUAGGCUAACUAAAGCAGACGAUUGGAAGAGUCUGUCUAAGCAGUGAGGUGUGAAUUGAGUCAAAUGCUUAAUUCUAUAACAUUGAGCUGUGAUGGGGAGCGAAGUUUAGUAGCGAAGUUAGUGACGUCACACUGCCAAGAAAAGCUUCUAGCGUUUAAACAUACUCUACCCGUACCGCAAACCGACACAGGUAGUCGAGGCGAGUAGCCUCAGGUGAGCGAGAGAACUCUCGUUAAGGAACUCGGCAAAAUGACCCCGUAACUUCGGGAGAAGGGGUGCUGACUUUAAGUCAGCCGCAGUGAAUAGGCCCAAGCAACUGUUUAUCAAAAACACAGCUCUCUGCUAAAUCGUAAGAUGAUGUAUAGGGGGUGACGCCUGCCCGGUGCUGGAAGGUUAAGAGGAGUGCUUAGCGUAAGCGAAGGUAUGAAUUGAAGCCCCAGUAAACGGCGGCCGUAACUAUAACGGUCCUAAGGUAGCGAAAUUCCUUGUCGGGUAAGUUCCGACCCGCACGAAAGGCGUAAUGAUUUGGGCACUGUCUCAACGAGAGACUCGGUGAAAUUUUAGUACCUGUGAAGAUGCAGGUUACCCGCGACAGGACGGAAAGACCCCAUGGAGCUUUACUGCAGUUUGAUAUUGAGUGUCUGUACCACAUGUACAGGAUAGGUAGGAGUCUAAGAGAUCGGGACGCCAGUUUCGAAGGAGACGCUGUUGGGAUACUACCCUUGUGUUAUGGCCACUCUAACCCAGAUAGGUGAUCCCUAUCGGAGACAGUGUCUGACGGGCAGUUUGACUGGGGCGGUCGCCUCCUAAAAGGUAACGGAGGCGCCCAAAGGUUCCCUCAGAAUGGUUGGAAAUCAUUCGCAGAGUGUAAAGGUAUAAGGGAGCUUGACUGCGAGAGCUACAACUCGAGCAGGGACGAAAGUCGGGCUUAGUGAUCCGGUGGUUCNNNNNNNNNNNNNNNNNNNNNNNNNNNNNNGUAUGGAAGGGCCAUCGCUCAACGGAUAAAAGCUACCCUGGGGAUAACAGGCUUAUCUCCCCCAAGAGUUCACAUCGACGGGGAGGUUUGGCACCUCGAUGUCGGCUCGUCGCAUCCUGGGGCUGUAGUCGGUCCCAAGGGUUGGGCUGUUCGCCCAUUAAAGCGGCACGCGAGCUGGGUUCAGAACGUCGUGAGACAGUUCGGUCCCUAUCCGUCGCGGGCGUAGGAAAUUUGAGAGGAUCUGCUCCUAGUACGAGAGGACCAGAGUGGACUUACCGCUGGUGUACCAGUUGUCUUGCCAAAGGCAUCGCUGGGUAGCUAUGUAGGGAAGGGAUAAACGCUGAAAGCAUCUAAGUGUGAAACCCACCUCAAGAUGAGAUUUCCCAUGAUUAUAUAUCAGUAAGAGCCCUGAGAGAUGAUCAGGUAGAUAGGUUAGAAGUGGAAGUGUGGCGACACAUGUAGCGGACUAAUACUAAUAGCUCGAGGACUUAUCCAA
rnacentral:rRNA from 1 species